AUUGAACGCUGGCGGCAUGCCUUACACAUGCAAGUCGAACGGCAGCACGGGAGCAAUCCUGGUGGCGAGUGGCGAACGGGUGAGUAAAGUAUCGGAACGUGCCCAGUCGUGGGGGAUAAUGUAGCGAAAGUUACGCUAAUACCGCAUACGAUCUAUGGAUGAAAGCGGGGGAUCGCAAGACCUCGCGCGGUUGGAGCGGCCGGUAUCAGAUUAGGUAGAUGGUGGGGUAAGGGCUCACCAAGCCGACGAUCUGUAGCUGGUCUGGGAGGACGACCAGCCACACUGGGACUGGGACACGGCCCAGACUCCUACGGGAGGCAGCAGUGGGGAAUUUUGGACAAUGGGCGAAAGCCUGAUCCAGCCAUGCCGCGUGCAGGAUGAAGGCCUUCGGGUUGUAAACUGCUUUUGUACGGAACGAAAAGGUUUGGCCUAAUAAGCUGAGCUCAUGACGGUACCGUAAGAAUAAGCACCGGCUAACUACGUGCCAGCAGCCGCCGUAA
rnacentral:rRNA from 1 species